GGAAGAGAAUCUGUACGAUAUGAAGUGAAUGACAAGAUUGUCAAGAAGACAUUAAACUCCUUAAUUGAAACUCAAGAUGACAUCUCAAACAAAAACCAUGGAAAUGAAGCACAGGAUGCAAACAAUAACAACAUGAGUUCCACCAACCAUGAUCAAAUAAUCCAUCCAUGUAACUUUACUUCAUCCAUAUAUUAUGGUGGCCAGGACAUAAUUCCUAAUACUCAGACAACACAAAAUGCAGGAGUAACUUCAUUUAAUAAUUGGGAAAAGGAUGAUUCAGGAGCUGCUUCAAGAGGAGAUUGGUGGAAAGG